rnacentral:rRNA from 1 species
GACGAACGCUGGCGGCGCGCCUAACACAUGCCAGUCGAACGAGCGAGAGAGAGCUUGCUUUCUUGAGCGAGUGGCGAACGGGUGAGUAACGCGUGAGGAACCUGCCUCAAAGAGGGGGACAACAGUUGGAAACGACUGCUAAUACCGCAUAAGCCCACGGUGCCGCAUGGCACAGAGGGAAAAGGAGCAAUCCGCUUUGAGAUGGCCUCGCGUCCGAUUAGCUAGUUGGUGAGGUAACGGCCCACCAAGGCGACGAUCGGUAGCCGGACUGAGUGGUGGAACCGGCACAUUGGGAAUGGGGCACGGCCCAGACUCCUACGGGAGGGAGGAGGGGGGGAUAUUGGAAAAUGGGGGGAACCCUGAUGGAGGGGCGGCGGGGUGAGGAAGAAGGUCUUCGGGUUGUAAACACCUGUUGUAGGGGAAGAUAAUGACGGUACUAAACAAAGAAGGGACGGCUAACUACGUG